rnacentral:tRNA from 1 species
GUACCUUUAGCUCAGUUGGUCAGAGCAGUCGGCUCAUAACCGUCGUAGGUUCGAGUCCUACAGGGUACA